rnacentral:miRNA from 1 species
CGACGGAGGGGUCCUGCAGUGACAGAAGCGAGUGAGCGCAGCUCUAAAAAGUUCUUCCCAGGACGAAGAUAUCCCACCUCUGCUACCU